CCUUUUGGUUCGGAAUAACUCAGGGAAACUUGUGCUAAUACCGAAUGUGCCCUUCGGGGGAAAGAUUUAUCGCCAUUAGAGCGGCCCGCGUCUGAUUAGCUAGUUGGUGAGGUAACGGCUCACCAAGGCGACGAUCAGUAGCUGGUCUGAGAGGAUGACCAGCCACACUGGGACUGAGACACGGCCCAGACUCCUACGGGAGGCAGCAGUGGGGAAUCUUGCGCAAUGGGCGAAAGCCUGACGCAGCCAUGCCGCGUGAAUGAUGAAGGUCUUAGGAUUGUAAAAUUCUUUCACCGGGGACGAUAAUGACGGUACCCGGAGAAGAAGCCCCGGCUAACUUCGUGCCAGCAGCCGCGGUAAUACGAAGGGGGCUAGCGUUGCUCGGAAUUACUGGGCGUAAAGGGCGCGUAGGCGGAUCGUUAAGUCAGAGGUGAAAUCCCAGGGCUCAACCCUGGAACUGCCUUUGAUACUGGCGAUCUUGAGUAUGAGAGAGGUAUGUGGAACUCCGAGUGUAGAGGUGAAAUUCGUAGAUAUUCGGAAGAACACCAGUGGCGAAGGCGACAUACUGGCUCAUUACUGACGCU
rnacentral:rRNA from 1 species